UGGGGAAUAUUGGACAAUGGGCGCAAGCCUGAUCCAGCAAUACCGCGUGUGUGAAGAAGGCCUGCGGGUUGUAAAGCACUUUCAAUAGUGAAGAUUGGGUUGAUGGUUAAUAGCCAUCGGCUUUGACGUUAACUAUACAAGAAGCACCGGCUAACUCCGUGCCAGCAGCCGCGGUAAUACGGAGGGUGCGAGCGUUAAUCGGAAUUACUGGGCGUAAAGCGCGCGUAGGCGGCCAGAUCAGUCGGAUGUGAAAGCCCCGGGCUCAACUCGGGAAUUGCAUUCGAUACUGUCUGGCUAGAGUUUGGUAGAGGGUGACGGAAUUCCAGGUGUAGCGGUGAAAUGCGUAGAUA
rnacentral:rRNA from 1 species